rnacentral:lncRNA from 1 species
AUUCCGCUCAGCAGUAUGUAGAUAAAAUUUGACAAGGAGGGCGUCUAGUUAGACGUACCUCUUGCAUUCUCGGAGUUAUGCUUCGCAUGGUGGAGUAGGUUGCCUCCUUUUCUCGUCGACCUCCGGAGUCAUUUUGACUUAAAGGGGGGCUUGGGUUUCUCACGGACCCAACAGCGCCCACCGAGGUUGAGAGGAUUUGGCGAGGCUUUAUUGAAUUGUAGCUCUCUGCGAGGUCGAGGGAGUUUCAGACCCCAUGGUAGGACCUCGGGCGCCUCAACCUUGGUCGAGGGAUCUUGCGUCAGGUCGGCGAGUCCGUGGACGCUUUGCAGACCUGUGGUACCUCCCAAGGUCGAGGGAGUUUGGGACUCUACGGUCGACCCUCGGGGCAUCCCGACCUUAGUCGAGGGAUCGUUCGUCAGGUCGGCGGGUCUGGGCACGCUCUACCGACCUGCGACGCUUCCCGAGGUCGAGAGAGUCUGGUUCUCUACGGUCGACCCUCGGGGCAUCCCGACCUUAGUCGGGGGAUAGCUCGCUUCGGGGAUCGGGGAUCGUCGACCG